rnacentral:rRNA from 1 species
CCUACGGGUGGCUGCAGUGGGGAAUAUUGGUCAAUGGGCGAGAGCCUGAACCAGCCAAGUCGCGUGAAGGAUGAAGGAUCUCUGGUCUUUAAACUCUUUUUAUAUGGGAAUAAAGUGAGGAACGUGUUCCUUUUUGUAUGUACCAUAUGAAUAAGCAUCGGCUAACUCCGUGCCAGCAGCCGCGGUAAUACGGAGGAUGCGAGCGUUACCCGGAUUUUGUGGGUUUAACGGGUACGUAGGUGGGUAAUUAAGUCAGCGGUGAAAGUUUGUGGCUCAACCAGAACAUUGUCGUUGAAACUGGUUGACUUGAGUAUAUUAGAGGUGGGUGGAAUGCGAGGUGUAGCGGUGAAAUGCGUAGAUA